UGAUGGGACACGAUUUUUCUAGGCAAAUUACGGAAAAAUAUGGAACUAAAUAUGCAAAUGGGAACUAUAUUUUGGGACAAACACCACCAAGAAGCCCAUCCAUCCCACCACUUCCCAACCACCCCAGCCGCCUCUUCCGCCACCCCAGGCGCGUCUCCCCUUUCCCCAAUCAAAAAAACCGCCAUAUUGUGAUAUUUACAUAGUUGCCCUUUUUCGAAACAAAUAGUAACUCUCUGUCUCUCUCUUCCAAGCCGUCACUGCACCAGCACCACCGUGAAGCGCCAUAUGAUAAAUUUCUACAGGUGUUGAUGUUAUUACUCUCUUCUUUUUUCAACAUUUCUUAAGAUUUUUAAGAAUCCUUUUAUUUAAUUUUCCUCUUAAGUGUGUUCUUGCUUCAAAAAUUAUAACUAUGGUUUCAAAGUUGAUAACUUUGGCCUCACAUGAAGCCCCAAAUAAGUUAGAACUUUCUCCAAGAGAAGCUUAUACCCUUCUUCAACCUAAAUUAACACCCCCAUUAAAGUUAAUUAUCCCUUCCCCUGAAGAGUACUUAAACCUUAAUAAGGCAAUUAUUUAUGGGGUUCUAUGUGAACCCACUUUGUCCAAAAUUCAUAUGAAGUAUUUACAUGCAAUUGUCACAGACGGGUAUUGCUUAUUUAUCAAUUUACUUUCAGAAAUUGUUGAUGGGCUGUUUUCAAAGAUGUUGGAAUCUCCAAAAGUUCAGUUGAUUUGGGUUGCUUCUGUUAUGAUUGAUGUUUGUGGCAUAGGUUUUGACAGUCUUUUGGUGUCUAUUUUGAGGCAAAUUUGUGGGGAUUUAGUGAUGGGAAUUGUGGCUCAGCUAUGAGAUGGUCAGUUUGUUUUUGUGUAAAUGGGAUUUGAUUUUGGAUGAGGAGCCAAUUGUUAUGUCUAUGCUUUGUAUACAUAUCUUAGGUUGUUGGCUGAUCACUAUCGGAUUGCGUGUAAUCCGAGGUCGGUAGAGUUGAAGAGAAAGGAGAUAGUUUGUGUUAGAAUGUUGAGAGAGCAGUUUCAUUUGUGUUUAAGAAUUGGGAGGGAUUUGGUCCGUCUUUUACAGGAUUUGGCUCAUGUUCCUGAGGUUCGAGCUAUAUGGAAAGAUCUAUUGCUGAAUCCAGGUUCAUUUGAGAGUUCUAGGUUUUCGGAUAUUUCUGAUAUUUAUGGCAUUAGAACAUCGAGUAGGUAUUUCUUGCUUAGAAUAACUCCUGAAAUGGAGACUCAGUUGAGGUUUCUGCUUACCCAUGUAAAGCUGGGAUAUCAGAGAAGGCACCAGACAUGGUUCACUAGGAAAUUCCUUUUUGCACCGGAGAGAGAGACUCUUGUCUGUGACAUUGUUCGCUUCAUUUGCUGUGCCCACCAUCCCUCAAAUGAAGUACUUCAAUCAGAUGUGAUCCCGAGGUGGGCUGUUAUUGGCUGGUUGUUGUUGAAAUUAUGUUCAAAGAAGUACUUUGAAGCUAAUGUGAAACUGACCUUGUUUUAUGAUUGGCUUUUCUUUGAUGAAAAGGUGGACAACUUUAUGAACAUUGAGCCUGCGAUGUUGUUAUUGGUGAACUCGAUACCUAAAUAUGUUGGUAUGACCAAUUCUCUAUUAGAAUUCUUGUUAUUAGUUGUAGAAAACUAUGAUGUGGAUAGGAAAAAUAUCAUCUGCAGAGGUGUGUCAUCAGCUAUAAGUAUACUAGUCAGUAAAGGGGUAAUUGGCUCCCUUGACGUAUUAACUUCUUGCAACUUGCUGUCUCCUUUUGUCAAAGAGAUGCUUCAAAACUUUAUGUUCAAGGUCCAAUCAGGGAUAUGUAAAGAGCCCCAGUUAACCAACCAUCCUUCUUCAGAUAAGCCAUCCCAGAUUUUGCCUAAUCCACCUGAUCUGGAAAGUGCACAUCAGUCUUCUGGACUUCUUGCUUGUCUUGAAAAUGCUGAAAUGAGCACUCAUUGUGUCUCUCUACCAGAAUCGAUUGAUUCAGCUGCUUCACAUGGUGAGUGCCAAGUUGAUGAUUUGACAAAUUUAAUAGGAAAAAUAGGAGAGGUAAUGAAAGGCUCGAACAGGAUGGGAGAGAAACUAGUGGAGAACAUCUUGCAUUUGUUCAUAAAAUCUGGAAACGAAGAAAAGUUUGGUGUUAUUAGCUCUGAAUCUUUAGCAUGUGAAUUGAAAAAGGAACUUGAGCUGGCUGGUCACAACCUUUUUUCACCUCUUGGAAGUUUACCAAAGAAUGAUGAUGCUGAUGCUGAUGAUGAAGUUGAAUCCGUAACAGCAGCAGUCAUUCGCACCUUCGUUAUUUCUCAACAUCAAUGGAUCAGGAAUAUGCUAUUCUGGUGGUCAAAGAAUGGCUGUGUAGUUGGAGCUCGAUUAUUAUCAUAUGCAUUGAGACUUGCACAUGAAGCACGUGAAGCAGGCUAUGGAGCAAACUCUACCAGCGAGAUCAAUUACAGAAAAUGGCCCUUGCUGAAGUGUCUCAUUGAAGGAUAUUAUGAACUUACAUCUCGAAAUGUGGAUCGUGUAAAUGAAACAAAUACUUCUAUUCCUGAGGUUGGUAACAAAUUGGUUAGUAAGAUGAUUGAUGAUGCUUUCACCUCUUAUAGGAAUAUGCUUACACAUGCUAGGAUGCUUUAAGCAAAGAAGUGGUUAUGGAUCCUGGUAAGAUCUUAGCAAUGGAUGUGUUGUUUUCUUCAUUAUGGAAGAGCAAAAGGUUUAAUGCUCUUUUCCACAUCAUCUUUUCUUAUCUUCCUGAUCUAUCCCUUGGCGAUGAAGAUGUAAUCCUGUUACUUGUCAGUCAAGUGGACGACGCUGAUCUUGUAUCCAUGCAGAUCGACUUGGGAUUGAGAAGGUUUUCUAUAUUUGGUGAAGAUGUCAGAAAAGUUGUCCAAUUGAUCAGAAAGUCCGUAUACUGGAAGCAAGUAGAUCAGCACAAAUUUUGGGGCUUGAUUAGAUCAGAGCUCACUGUCUCCGAGUUUCCUGUGGAGAAGUUGCUUUUGGAGUGCUUUUUCUCAACUGAUUUUGAUCCAAACACUAGUGGUGUCAUUGUUGGAGGUCUUCAAGCAAUAUGUAGUUCUUGUGCUCCCACACCAGAAAUUGUUGGUGCUGUCAUGUUAUUGCCGAACAAUAAGUUCCCUGAUUUUGCUGCUUCCAUUCUCUCUCAUUGGACCAUAACUAAUGCAUCAAUGUUCUCCAAUAGUGUAGCUGAUUUUUUGAUUAAACUCGAGAACAAGAAUGGGAAUGCUCCUCUUGACUAUAGCAGUGUUUCCAUCAACCAGUCUGCUCUCUUAUAUUUGUUAGAAUAUUUUGAAGCACAAGGUGUACAAGGUGUUAACAUGCUAGAGAAACUGGCGUUGAAUUUAGCAGACAUAGAAACAAGACUCGGGAAUCCUACAGUUCCAAUGGAUACUGGGUAAUUCUGUCUUGUGUCAUGGUUGAGAAUAUUCUAAUUAUGGGCCAUAGUUGCUGUGGGGGAAUCCAUGCCCUCAUGGGUAUGCAGGAUGAAGAAGAAGAUUCAAGGAGGUGCAUUAG